rnacentral:tRNA from 1 species
ACCGAAAUACUCAGUUGGCAGAGCGUUAGACUACAGAUCGAAUAGUCCUUGGUUCGAUCCCGAGUUUCCGCA